GGGCGUUAGUGUGUAUAAAAUCAACAGGACCCUCCUCUUCUUUCUCUCUUCCGCUGCAAGUUCUCCGUGAGAGGGGAAACUAGUCGACAUUUAAUUUCGGUUCAGCUACCGGAAGGACCAUCUGGUUUCUUCAGCCAUGGCUGUCUGCGUAAAAUGCAGGUGUCGGAUAUUGCUGAGAGGGGGAGGACAGAACAUGAAAACACAUGCAGGUGACCCUCAUGGCUGACCAGAAGUGACAGGGUGAGGACAACUCGUGUCAUGGCAUCACUCAACUUGUGAUCUAAAGCCUGGUAUCCUCAGGCUGUGUGGGCUCUUAAACCUUCCUGGUUUUGUAAAGGUACAGUGCCAUGUCUGUGAGCAGCACAAAGUGGAGCGUCGGUGCUGGUCUCAUCAGACUGCUGCAGACCAUCCACAAGGGCAACACUGAAUCAGAAUCGUUAACUCAGAUUGAGUUAACUGAGUGAUUUAACUGCAACUCUUGGAAGCUGUCAAAAUUGCUGGAAGUUCAAGUUUUGUUUCAAUACAAAAAUUGUCAAACAUUUUAAGUGACACAUCUCUGUAAAUCAUUUGAAAAUGUAUCAUUUGAAUGUAAUAAAACAACUCAAACUAUUA